rnacentral:SRP_RNA from 1 species
UCUUUAGACCUGUGCAAUGGUUAUAAAAGACAACGUGUCAGAGCAGGAAUGCAGCAGCACACCUUUUAUGAUUAUGUGCCGCAGGUAUCUGGAGAAGA